GGGGCUUUAGCUCAGUGGUAGAGCGCUUGCCUAGCAAGCGCAAGGCCCUGGGUUCGGUCCCCAGCUCCG
rfam:Rattus norvegicus chromosome 3, whole genome shotgun sequence.